CAGUCGAGCGGACAGAUGGGAGCUUGCUCCCUGAUGUUAGCGGCGGACGGGUGAGUAACACGUGGGUAACCUGCCUGUAAGACUGGGAUAACUCCGGGAAACCGGGGCUAAUACCGGAUGCUUGUUUGAACCGCAUGGUUCAAACAUAAAAGGUGGCUUCGGCUACCACUUACAGAUGGACCCGCGGCGCAUUAGCUAGUUGGUGAGGUAACGGCUCACCAAGGCAACGAUGCGUAGCCGACCUGAGAGGGUGAUCGGCCACACUGGGACUGAGACACGGCCCAGACUCCUACGGGAGGCAGCAGUAGGGAAUCUUCCGCAAUGGACGAAAGUCUGACGGAGCAACGCCGCGUGAGUGAUGAAGGUUUUCGGAUCGUAAAGCUCUGUUGUUAGGGAAGAACAAGUACCGUUCGAAUAGGGCGGUACCUUGACGGUACCUAACCAGAAAGCCACGGCUAACUACGUGCCAGCAGCCGCGGUAAUACGUAGGUGGCAAGCGUUGUCCGGAAUUAUUGGGCGUAAAGGGCUCGCAGGCGGUUCCUUAAGUCUGAUGUGAAAGCCCCCGGCUCAACCGGGGAGGGUCAUUGGAAACUGGGGAACUUGAGUGCAGA
rnacentral:rRNA from 1 species